rnacentral:lncRNA from 1 species
AUUUGCAAGUAAAAAUCCGACAGUUUUCUUUUUAAAAAUUAAAUGGUGGAAGUUCUAAGCAGUUAGUAUAAUAUUUCUGUUCGAUUAUUGACACGACUGGUGAUAUAAUCAUUGAUGAAUCAUGUUAUUUAAGAUACAAGCAAAUACAAGUUUCUUGUAUUUGUAAUGUGGACGUUCGUUGCAUACGAAGUUGAAAUUACGACGGACCGUCUGGCGAUCGACGAAGAAAGUUCUUAAUCGUUGCUCCGUGUCACCGUAGUACACAACAGUUAAAAGAUCACCUCGUACGAAGCUAAACGCCGACGUAUCGCGUAUAGAUCGGUAAUUUCCGAAGAUUUUAUUCGAAACCCUAAGUAUGCUGCUCCUAGUGCGAAGACAACGUAAUGGUAAACAAUUCUAAAGAUAAUUCCGUCUUCCAAUUUUUUCUCUCGUGUUGCUACGCGAGAAAGUAUCGUGUCUUCGACAAAAAUAUAAGGGAAGUGUCGAAGAGGAGAAAAGGAAGAAAGAAGAAGAGAUAAUUGAAGAGAGAGAAAGAGAGAGAGUGAAGGAGAGGUAGUAGGAGGAGAAGAGGAUUACGUUCUUUUCAAAGACGAUUUUCCUGGGGAUGUGCACGACGAAGAAGAAGAAGAAGAAGAAGUUGCGAUGUUGAACUCCGCGACUAAGUAUAAUUGAUCGAUCGAAUAAAUGCCCAUUAGUUGGAGCUUCAGUCCGAACGAUCGAAUCCACUAGAUUCCUUCCUAAAUCAUCGAGAACGGAUUUUAGUUGAGCAAUAAUGUUGACUGACGUGUUACGAUACUAAUCGUAAUUCUAAGUGGUUGAAAGAAAAAAAUAAGAAAGAAAAAAAAACAAA